rnacentral:rRNA from 1 species
GAUGAACGCUGGCGGCGUGCCUAAUACAUGCAAGUCGAGCGAACAGACGAGGAGCUUGCUCCUCUGACGUUAGCGGCGGACGGGUGAGUAACACGUGGAUAACCUACCUAUAAGACUGGGAUAACUUCGGGAAACCGGAGCUAAUACCGGAUAAUAUAUGGAACCGCAUGGUUCAAUAGUGAAAGACGGUUUUGCUAUCACUUAUAGAUGGAUCCGCGCCGCAUUAGCUAGUUGGUAAGGUAACGGCUUACCAAGGCAACGAUGCGUAGCCGACCUGAGAGGGUGAUCGGCCACACUGGAACUGAGACACGGUCCAGACUCCUACGGGAGGCAGCAGUAGGGAAUCUUCCGCAAUGGGCGAAAGCCUGACGGAGCAACGCCGCGUGAGUGAUGAAGGUCUUCGGAUCGUAAAACUCUGUUAUUAGGGAAGAACAAACGUGUAAGUAACUAUGCACGUCUUGACGGUACCUAAUCAGAAAGCCACGGCUAACUACGUG